GUGGCCCUCUAUUAACACGUGGCGCCUAGUCAUUAUCCAUAUGGACGCCAUGUUAUCAGUUAACGAGAGAUUUAACAGUUUGACUAACGGAUGUAUAAGACUGUCCCAAAAUUUACAUUCAGACUCAGAGAAACAAUGGAGCCCUUAGCUCUCAACCUGAAAAUGCUCCGAGGCCCGGGGUUUCAUAAUUGGAACGGCGACACCCGAAACUUCCGACCCGGAUCCAAGGUCCGAAUCGGCCGCGACGGUCGCUGCAACAACAUCCCGAUCAAAGACUCCGGCAUUUCUUCCAAGCACCUCUCCAUCGAGUCCGAAUCGGGCAAAUGGGUGCUCCGAGACCUCGAAUCCUCAAACGGAACCCUUUUGAAUGGCACCAAUGUCCCCCCAAACACGCCGCUGGAUCUCAGCCACGGCGACGAAAUCAAAAUCGGCGAGUGCACUUCCAUUGAGGUUAAGAUCGAUGGCUACGAAGAGAGCCGGCUGAGACGGAAUCCGAGGCGUGUCGAGGAAAUUGAGGUCAAGGGGAAUCAGAAGAGGGGUCGACCGCCCAAAGCUAGGGUUUUGAAGAGGGAGGUUGCGGAGGAGAAGCCUGUGGAGGAAAAAUUGACACGGCAAGUGAGGGUGAGGCAAACUCGGAUCUCGAAGAAUGAGGAAUUGGGGAAGAUUGCAGAGAGCUCUUGUGUAGACACUGAAGGAUUGCCGAAAAGGACACGUGGCGGUGUGAGGAGGGGGAAGAAUGCACCAAAAGAGCAACCGGUGUGCGAUAAACUUGGCAAUGAAGCUUCAAAAGCGGUGAAAUUGGAGGAAGAGAGACAUGAGGAGGCGGAUAGAGAGUUCAACGUUGGAGGAGAGAGUGGUGGAAAAGGUGAAAGUGGAAGUGGGAAUGGCGAAAAGGUUGAAAAUGGAAGCGGGAGUGGCAUUAAGGGCUACAAUGGAAGUGGGAGUGGUUUGGGUGUUAAUGUGAGCUGUGACUUGGAGAAGAUGACGCUCGGGGAGUGGUUUGAGUUUUUGGAGAGGCAUUUGCCAAAACAGAUCAUUGGUGAGACGGAGGAGGCACUUGUGGAAAUGACAGAGAAAGCAAAGCGAAUUCGGGAGCACAUUGCGCAGGAGAAGAAGUGAAUGUGCUCGUGGUCUAAACGGGAUAAGAUGGGAGGAUUAGCGCCUUGUGUUCUGUGGUGGUGGCAUUUCUUCAUUCUUCAACCGGCAGAUCCAGUUUGAGAUGCUGCGCCUUGCUUCUAAAGUCUGCAAUUGUUCAGCUUCUAACGGAGAAACUUGUAUAUAUCAGAGCUUUCUCAUGGUAAAUGUGGAACAAAUGGGUACGGUGUAGGUAGCUGUAUCGGUUCAUGCAUUGUAUGAGUGUGCAAGUUGUGUACUGCAAUUUUCUGGGUAAUCAUCUACGCAUUGCUAGUUCCUUUUCA